AUUGAACGCUGGCGGCAGGCCUAACACAUGCAAGUUCGAGCGGUAACAGGGGAAGCUUGCUUCCCGCUGACGAGCGGCGGACGGGUGAGUAAUGUACGGGGAUCUGCCCGAUAGAGGGGGAUGACCACUGGAAACGGUGGCUAAUACCGCAUAAUCUCUUAGGAGCAAAGCAGGGGAACUUCGGUCCUUGCGCUAUCGGAUGAACCCAUAUGGGAUUAGCUAGUAGGUGGGGUAAUGGCUCACCUAGGCGACGAUCCCUA
rnacentral:rRNA from 1 species